UAUUUUGUCAGUUGGCCAGAUAAGCUAUCAAGUGGUGAUAUAAUUGAUCUAUCCACAUAUCAAGAAGAUAAAAAAGAUCACUUAGACACUGGAUGGCUAACCAGGAAGUGGAUAGAUUCAAAUUCAACCAUUUGUAACCACCUGCUAGCCAGCUAACUGGUGCUUAAAAUUAUCCACCAUUUUGUUGAAAUUUCAGGACUUGGUAGAUUAGGGAAAAGCUGAAAAAGUGAAGUGUGAAAAGAG
rnacentral:lncRNA from 1 species